rnacentral:rRNA from 1 species
UUUCUAGUUUACUGUCAUAGUGAAGUAUGAUAUUCCAUAAAGUUUGGCUCUGGCUUGUUAACUUGCAUUUUUUGUUUUUUACAUACAAGAGUAAGUAUUUUGUAGUGCUUAAUAUUAAAUAAUUAGAUAUAGAUUUAGAAUAAAAGUGUUAGGAGUCUAAGGUUGUGCCAGCAGACGCGGUUAUACUAUCUCCUAUGUAAGUUUUUUAUAAUAAGAAGUUUUUAUAUUUAAUAAAGUUUUUAAUGGUUAUUCAUGCGGUGAAAUGCAUAAUGUAAUUUAUUUUUGAUCUAAAUAAUUUUAAUAAGCUUUCAGCUUUAUAAAUAAACCAGGAUUAGAUACCCUGUUAUUGUAAAUUUAAAUUAUUUUAAGUAGUAUAAGUAAUUGAAACUUAAAGAGCUUGGCGGCGUUUUAGGCAAUCUAGAGGAAUCUGUAUUUUAAUCGAUAGUCCACGAAUUACCUUACCAGGGUUAGUAUUUGAUAAUUUGUAUACCGUUGUUGUUAAUUGAACUUAAAGGUUGCUUUUAGUAUUUUUGUUAAAAUUAUGACAAAUCAAGGUGCAGUUAAUUUCCUGGUUAAUAUGGAUUACAUUUGUUUUAUUAGCGGAUCUUAGUGUUAAAGUUUAUUUGAAGUUGGAUUUAGUUGUAUAAAUUCUAUAGUAUGGAAUUUAGAAUGUGCUCUGAAACGUGUACACAUCGCCCGUCACUCUCAUUAUUAGUGAGAGAAGUCGUAACAAAGUAGGUGUACUGGAAAGUGUACCUUGAAU